rnacentral:tRNA from 1 species
CGGCGGCGUAGCUCAGCAGGGGUAGAGCGUCGGUUAUGCCGGAGGUCCCCCGUUCGAUUCGGGGCCCGUCGUCCA